AACGAACGCUGGCGGCAGGCCUAACACAUGCAAGUCGAGCGCCCCGCAAGGGGAGCGGCGGACGGGUGAGUAACGCGUGGGAAUAUGCCCUUUGCUACGGAAUAGUCUCGGGAAACUGGGGGUAAUACCGUAUACGCCCUUUGGGGGAAAGAUUUAUCGGCGAAGGAUUAGCCCGCGUUGGAUUAGGUAGUUGGUGGGGUAAUGGCCUACCAAGCCGACGAUCCAUAGCUGGUUUGAGAGGAUGAUCAGCCACACUGGGACUGAGACACGGCCCAGACUCCUACGGGAGGCAGCAGUGGGGAAUCCUAGACAAUGGGGGCAACCCUGAUCUAGCCAUGCCGCGUGAGUGAUGAAGGCCUUAGGGUUGUAAAGCUCUUUCAGCUGGGAAGAUAAUGACGGUACCAGCAGAAGAAGCCCCGGCUAACUCCGUG
rnacentral:rRNA from 1 species